UACGAAGGUGGCAAGCGUUGUUCGGAUUUACUGGGCGUACAGGGCGCGUAGGCGGUUGGAUAAGCCCUCCGUGAAAUCUCCAGGCUUAACCUGGAAAGUGCAGAGGGGACUGUUCAGCUAGAGGAUGGGAGAGGAGCGCGGAAUUCCCGGUGUAGCGGUGAAAUGCGUAGAUAUCUGGAGGAACACCGGUGGCGAAGGCGGCAUCCUGGACCGGUAUUGACGCUGAGGCGCGAAAGCCAGGGGAGCAAACGGG
rnacentral:rRNA from 1 species